rnacentral:rRNA from 1 species
GAGCAAUACCGCGUGAGGGAGGAAGGCUCUUGGGUUGUAAACCUCUUUUCUCAGGGAAGAAAAAAAUGACGGUACCUGAGGAAUAAGCAUCGGCUAACUCCGUGCCAGCAGCCGCGGUAAUACGGAGGAUGCAAGCGUUAUCCGGAAUGAUUGGGCGUAAAGGGUCCGCAGGUGGCAUUGUAAGUCUGCUGUUAAAGAGUUUGGCUCAACCAAAUAAGAGCAGUGGAAACUACAAAGCUAGAGUGUGGUCGGGGCAGAGGGAAUUCCUGGUGUAGCGGUGAAAUGCGUAGAUAUCAGGAAGAACACCGGUGGCGAAGGCGCUCUGCUAGGCCAAGACUGACACUGAGGGACGAAAGCUAGGGGAGCGAAUGGGAUUAGAUACCCCAGUAGUCCUAGCCGUAAACGAUGGAUACUAGGCGUAGCUCGUAUCGACCCGAGCUGUGCCGUAGCUAACGCGUUAAGUAUCCCGCCUGGGGAGUACGCAGGCAACUGUGAAACUCAAAGGAAUUGACGGGGGCCCGCACAAGCGGUGGAGUAUGUGGUUUAAUUCGAUGCAACGCGAAGAACCUUACCAAGGCUUGACAUGUCACGAAUUCCGUUGAAAGAUGGAAGCGCCUUCGGGAGCGUGAACACAGGUGGUGCAUGGCUGUCGUCAGCUCGUGUCGUGAGAUGUUGGGUUAAGUCCCGCAACGAGCGCAACCCUCGUUUUUAGUUGCCAGCAUUAAGUUGGGCACUCUAGAGAGACUGCCGGUGACAAACCGGAGGAAGGUGGGGAUGACGUCAAGUCAGCAUGCCCCUUACGUCUUGGGCUACACACGUACUACAAUGCUACGGACAAAGGGCAGCUACACAGCGAUGUGAUGCGAAUCUCAUAAACCGUAGCUCAGUUCAGAUCGAAGGCUGCAACUCGCCUUCGUGAAGGAGGAAUCGCUAGUAAUUGCAGGUCAGCAUACUGCAGUGAAUUCGUUCCCGGGCCUUGUACACACCGCCCGUCACACCAUGGAAGUUGGUCACGCCCGAAGUCGUUACCCCAACCGCAAGGAGGGGGAUGCCUAAGGUAGGACUGAUGACUGGGGUGAAGUCGUAACAAGGUAGCCGUACCGGAAGGUGU